rnacentral:ribozyme from 1 species
GCUUCCCCUCGCCUCCCCAGAUGGCCGCAACUCUCCUCCUAGUGG